rnacentral:rRNA from 1 species
UGGGGGAUAUUGCACAAUGGAGGAAACUCUGAUGCAGCGACGCCGCGUGAGGGAAGACGGUCUUCGGAUUGUAAACCUCUGUCUUAGGGGAAGAAGAUGACGGUACCCUAAGAGGAAGCUCCGGCUAACUACGUG